rnacentral:rRNA from 1 species
UGAACGCUGGCGGCGUGCCUAAUACAUGCAAGUCGAGCGAACAGAUAAGGAGCUUGCUCCUUUGACGUUAGCGGCGGACGGGUGAGUAACACGUGGGUAACCUACCUAUAAGACUGGAAUAACUCCGGGAAACCGGGGCUAAUGCCGGAUAAUAUUUAGAACCGCAUGGUUCUAAAGUGAAAGAUGGUUUUGCUAUCACUUAUAGAUGGACCCGCGCCGUAUUAGCUAGUUGGUGGGGUAAUGGCUUACCAAGGCAACGAUACGUAGCCGACCUGAGAGGGUGAUCGGCCACACUGGAACUGAGACACGGUCCAGACUCCUACGGGAGGCAGCAGUAGGGAAUCUUCCGCAAUGGGCGAAAGCCUGACGGAGCAACGCCGCGUGAGUGAUGAAGGUCUUCGGAUCGUAAAACUCUGUUAUUAGGGAAGAACAAAUGUGUAAGUAACUGUGCACGUCUUGACGGUACCUAAUCAGAAAGCCACGGCUAACUACGUGCCAGCAGCCGCGGUAAUA